AAGCUCGUAGUUGAAUUUCGGAAUUUUUCGGUUGGUCGGGCUUCACUGUCCGCACUGGCCUGAUGAAUUCCUACCUUCUGAAUAACCAGCAUGCUAUUAAUUUAGUGCGUUGGGGAAGCAGAGCUAUUACCUUGAAAAAAUUAGAGUGCUUAAAGCAGGCUCACGCUUGAAUAGAUUAGCAUGGAAUAAUAAAAUAGGACGGCUUGGUUCUAUUUUGUUGGUUUCUAGGAUCACCGUAAUGAUUAAUAGGGAUAGUUGGG
rnacentral:rRNA from 1 species